rnacentral:rRNA from 1 species
AAGUCGAGCGAACAGACGAGGAGCUUGCUCCUCUGACGUUAGCGGCAGACGGGUGAGUAACACGUGGAUAACCUACCUAUAAGACUGGGAUAACUUCGGGAAACCGGAGCUAAUACCGGAUAAUAUAUUGAACCGCAUGGUUCAAUAGUGAAAGACGGUUUUGCUGUCACUUAUAGAUGGAUCCGCGCCGCAUUAGCUAGUUGGUAAGGUAACGGCUUACCAAGGCAACGAUGCGUAGCCGACCUGAGAGGGUGAUCGGCCACACUGGAACUGAGACACGGUCCAGACUCCUACGGGAGGCAGCAGUAGGGAAUCUUCCGCAAUGGGCGAAAGCCUGACGGAGCAACGCCGCGUGAGUGAUGAAGGUCUUCGGAUCGUAAAACUCUGUUAUUAGGGAAGAACAAAUGUGUAAGUAACUAUGCACGUCUUGACGGUACCUAAUCAGAAAGCCACGGCUAACUACGUGCCAGCAGCCGCGGUAAUACGUAGGUGGCAAGCGUUAUCCGGAAUUAUUGGGCGUAAAGCGCGCGUAGGCGGUUUUUUAAGUCUGAUGUGAAAGCCCACGGCUCAACCGUGGAGGGUCAUUGGAAACUGGAAAACUUGAGUGCAGAAGAGGAAAGUGGAAUUCCAUGUGUAGCGGUGAAAUGCGCAGAGAUAUGGAGGAACACCAGUGGCGAAGGCGACUUUCUGGUCUGUAACUGACGCUGAUGUGCGAAAGCGUGGGGA